GGUCUUCAUUCAACCAAAGGAAACACCAUGAAAAUGCAAAGAACAACCUCAAAACUCAAGCUCUCAACCUUCAAAACGGAAAUAUAAGAAGAACAAUGAUAGAACUCCAUUCCAUUAAGCAAGAACAAGCAUGUUUGCAAGCAAGAGAAGAAGAAAACCGAAAUCUUGUUCAUUCCAUAGCUCAAAACCAAAAGGGCAC
rnacentral:lncRNA from 1 species